GACGAACGCUGGCGGCGUGCUUAACACAUGCAAGUCGAACGGAAAGGCCCUGCUUUUGUGGGGUGCUCGAGUGGCGAACGGGUGAGUAACACGUGAGUAACCUGCCCUUGACUUUGGGAUAACUUCAGGAAACUGGGGCUAAUACCGGAUAGGAGCUCCUGCUGCAUGGUGGGGGUUGGAAAGUUUCGGCGGGUGGGGAUGGACUCGCGGCUUAUCAGCUUGUUGGUGGGGUAGUGGCUUACCAAGGCUUGACGGGUAGCCGGCCUGAUAGGGUGACCGGCCACAUUGGGACUGAGAUACGGCCCAGACUCCUACGAGAGGCAGCAGUGGGAGAUAUUGCACAAUGGGCGGAAGCCUGAUGCAGCAACGCCGCGUGCGGGAUGACGGCCUUCGGGUUGUAAACCGCUUUCGCCUGUGACGAAGCGUGAGUGACGGUAAUGGGUAAAGAAGCACCGGCUAACUACGUG
rnacentral:rRNA from 1 species